GAUGAACGCUGGCGGCGUGCCUAAUACAUGCAAGUCGAGCGAACAGACGAUGAGCUUGUUCCUCUGACGUUAGCGGCGGACGGGUGAGUAACACGUGGAUCACCUACCUAUAAGACUGGGAUAACUUCGGGAAACCGGAUCUACUACCGGAUAAUAUAUUGAACCGCAUGGUUCAAUAGUGAAAGACGGUUUUGCUGUCACUUAUAGACGGUUCCGCGUCGCAUUAGCUAGUUGGUAAGGGAACGGCUUACCAAGGCAACGAUGCGUAGCCGACCUGAGAGGGUGAUCGGCCACACUGGAACUGAGGCACGGCCCAGACUCCUACGGGAGGCAGCAGUAGGGAAUCUUCCGCAAUGGGCGAAAGCUUGACGGAGCAACACCGCGUGAGUGAAGAAGGUCUUCGGAUUGUAAAACCCUGUUGUUAGGAAAGAACAAAAGUGUGUGUAUCUAUGCACGUCUUGACGGUACCUAAUGAGAAAGCAACGGCUAACUACGUG
rnacentral:rRNA from 1 species